ensembl:lncRNA
UCGACCAGCACUGCCCAGCUUGCAAUAUACAGGCAGCUUUCGUCGCUAGGGCUUACUGGAGACCAGUCUCAGUUUUCUUUUCUGAAAGUGGUUUCCCCAUCAUUUUCACAGGGUGUCUACAUGCACAUUGCCAUGGCAGCCGAAGUCAGGGCAGCCCAGGCUAUGCAGCUGAUUUCACUGAUCUUCCAGGUGCCAUGAAGACUGGACUCUAGUGCACAGAUAGUCAACCCAGUGCCCUCCAGAUGUUGUCGGAUUCCAUCUCCCAUCAGCCUCGGCCAGUAUGGCCAAUGGCCAGGGGUGCUGGAAGUUGAAGCCCAGCAACACCAUGAAGCAGGGGGGCCAACUUGAAUAAAAUAUUGGGGGGCACAGGUAAGCCCCAACCUGCAUAAUCAAUCACAUGAGAUGGUGCACACCUAGGACUUGCCAAUCGCAUGGUCGGCGGUUCGAAUCCCCGCGGCGGGGUGCGCUCCCGCUGCUCGGUCCCAGCGCCUGCCAACCUAGCAGUUCGAAAGCACCCCCGGGUGCAAGUAGAUAAAUAGGGACCGCUUACCAGCGGGAAGGUAAACGGCGUUUCCGUGUGCUACGCUGGCUCGCCAGAUGCAGCUUGUCACGCUGGCCACGUGACCCGGAAGUGUCUGCGGACAGCGCUGGCUCCCGGCCUAUAGAGUGAGAUGAGCGCACAACCCUAGAGUCUGGCAAGACUGGCCCGUACGGGCAGGGGUACCUUUACCUUUUUACACCAUCAACUUUGGGGGGGGGGCUGAAGAUCCCACAGCUCCUAGGAGUUGGCUCCUGUGUCAUGAAGGCAGCAUAUCACACAAUGGACGGAUCUGUGCAUCUUUCCAAAAGGCAAGGAUUCCUGCUUGAAGGAAAUGCAGCUCUUUCUCAGACAAGCGAGUUUAUUGCAGUAAGGGGACGUUCAAGUUUUCUGACAGGAAACACUAUUUUAAUAGCUUUUUUAAAAGCCUUACAUUUCGUUUUCAUUUUUACACAACCUCGAGCACGUUCCCACUAUUAUUUAAAUAGUGGAAUUUGCUUUGUCUUUUUAACGUAAAAUCAGUGAGUAGUGCACUAGGAAAGGUGCUGUUCCUCCAACAGGUGCAGUGCCAUUUCAUGGGGUAACCAUAUUUUGUUCAUCACCUGGAAAAGACAGGCUGUAAUCUCAACUCUUGUUUUCCUGGAAGGAAGCCCCAUUGAAUUCAAUAGGACUUAACUUCUGAGUAGACAUGGUCAGGAUUGUACUGUUGCUGGUUGGAUACUAGGGCUCCAAUCCUGUACCUACUUACUCAGGAGUAACCCCACUGAACUCAGUGCAACUACUACAUGUAGAGGACUGCCCUGUGAUGCCCAAGCCAACUUACAUCUGGUUGCAAAGAUGCUAAAGCUUCUACAUAUUUAUAUGCAUUUUGCUCAUGAAGGCCCAGGCUGUGCUUGUUUGCCACAAAACCUUGUUAAGUUAGCAGUGGCAGAGAAAAUAUAGUCAACUUUUACUCAGGAUGCAAGUCACUGCUGAAGCUGAUGAGAAAAUGCCAAUGAAUUUCCUGUAAUACUAAAUAACUUCUGCAGAGUUGUUUUAACAGAUCUAUAAAAAUUAGUAAGAAGUUUUGAGGGAUCCCUUAUUUUUGGCACAUAAAUUGCAAGUCUAGUAGCUAUUUCUCUCUUCUUGCAUUUAAAACAAACACUGGUCUGGCUAUAGUUUUACAUUUUUACUAUGUACAUAAGCGAGAGUGUACUAUUAGAUAUAUAUUUUUGCAGUAUUGAGACACACCUUUGGUGAUAAUCAAAACAAGAUCUUAUUUUGUCUUUACCUAAGGAAAACACUUUGAAAUUGAUUGCAUAAACUGUGUACCCAGAAAAAGUUCCCAAAUCCAAAUACAUUGCUGAUCCAAGAUAUUUACAUAGCUAUUGUAUGCUUACAAAGUAUAAUAACUGACACAUUUUUUUUUAAUUCUGCAUGUUCUGCAGCCAAGGCUACAAUCUGCACAAUAAAAGCCGUUUUAAUAGAAACUUUUGCCUGAAUACUUAUUUUCUCAAAAUAUCUGCUUGCAAACAAAAGUUUAACAUAAAGCCUACUGUGGGAAGGGAAAGCCAAUCCAUCGAAAACUCCAUAUAGUGGUGCUAUCAAGCUUUGCCCUAGCAUUGACAGCUAGUGGUUUAAAACCUCUGCAGCCAUGUUUUGCCCUCCC